UACGUAGGGUGCGAGCGUUGUCCGGAAUUAUUGGGCGUAAAGAGCUUGUAGGCGGUUUGUCGCGUCUGCUGUGAAAAUCCGGGGCUCAACCCCGGACUUGCAGUGGGUACGGGCAGACUAGAGUGUGGUAGGGGAGACUGGAAUUCCUGGUGUGGCGGUGAAAUGCGCAGAUAUCAGGAGGAACACCGAUGGCGAAGGCAGGUCUCUGGGCCACUACUGACGCUGAGAAGCGAAAGCAUGGGGAGCGAACAGG
rnacentral:rRNA from 1 species